AUUUUGAAAUAAAAUAACUUUCUUUAUUGUUUAAAGUUCAUAAUAAGUUAUUUGUUUUGAGAGUUAUUUAUGUUAAAUUAAGAAGAUACAAUAUUCAUAAGUUUGAUCUUAAUCGAAAAUCAAUAUGAAACUUUCUUCUACGUGGCAGUAGAGGUGUAAAUCAAGGUAGGUCAUGUUGCAUUCAGCAACAAUAUCCCUAGAUAAUGUUGUUACACGGUAAUAUCAACACGCCAAACAAUGCUAAACUUGCAACAACAUCAUUGGUGAUAGAGAAUGACCGUCUUAAGAGGGGAAUAGUACAAGCAGUGUAACAAUUUACGAUUUCAAUUUUCCACUCAUUGCUGAUAGAGAAUGACCGUCUUAAGAGGGGAAUAGUACAAGCAGUGUAACAAUUUACGAUUUCAAUUUUCCACUCAUUGCUGAUAGAGAAUGACCGUCUUAAGAGGAGAAUAAUGCAAGUAGUGUAUUUUGAAAUAAAAUAACUUUCUUUAUUGUUUAAAGUUCAUAAUAAGUUAUUUGUUUUGAGAGUUAUUUAUGUUAAAUUAAGAAGAUACAAUAUUCAUAAGUUUGAUCUUAAUCGAAAAUCAAUAUGAAACCUUCUUCUACGUGGCAGUAGAGGUGUAAAUCAAGGUAGGUCAUGUUGCAUUCAGCAACAAUAUCCCUAGAUAAUGUUGUUACAAGGUAAUAUCAACACGCCAAAAAAUGCUAAACUUGCAACAACAUCAUUUUAUUCAGCCGUAAACCCAAUUUCUGAAAUAAAAGAUACAAAAGUUAGAAGAAUUAUAUACAUUUAUGACAUAUCAUAUAUCAUAUAAAAAGUUGACGAAAUUCAGAUCAAAUCUCAAGUUACAACAUUGUCU
rnacentral:lncRNA from 1 species